UGAGUGCGAGCUGCUACGGCAGCGAAGUUGGUGACGUCAAGCUUCCAAGAAAAGCCCUAUACCCGUUAAGGCAUCAUGGCCUGUACCCGAAACCGACACAGGUGGGGUGGUAGAGAAUACCGAGGGGCGCGAGGUAACUCUCUCUAAGGAACUCGGCAAAAUGGCCCCGUAACUUCGGGAGAAGGGGUGCCACCGCAAGGUGGUUGCAGUGAAGAGGCCCAGGCGACUGUUUACCAAAAACACAGGUCUCCGCUAAGUCGCAAGACGAUGUAUGGGGGCUGACGCCUGCCCAGUGCCGGAAGGUUAAGGAAGCUGGUCAGCGCAAGCGAAGCUGGCGACUGAAGCCCCGGUGAACGGCGGCCGUAACGAUAACGGUCCUAAGGUAGCGAAAUUCCUUGUCGGGUAAGUUCCGACCCGCACGAAAGGCGUAACGAUCUGGGCGCUGUCUCGGAGAGAGGCUCGGCGAAAUAGAAUUGUCUGUGAAGAUGCGGACUACGUGCACCCGGACAGAAAGACCCUAUGGAGCUUUACUGUAGCUUGGUAUUGUGCCCGGGCUCUGAAUGCGCAGGAUAGGUGGGAGGCUUUGAUCAUCGGCUUGCGGGUCGAUGUGAGCCAACGGUGAGAUACCACUCUUUCAGAGCUAGGGUUCUAACAGUCACCCGUUAUCCGGGGACUGGACAGUAUCAGGUGGGCAGUUUGACUGGGGCGGUCGCCUCCUAAAAGGUAACGGAGGCGCGCAAAGGUCUGCUCAGGCUGGUUGGAAAUCAGCCGACGAGUGUAAAAGCAGAAGCAGGCUUGACUGUGAGACCUACAAGUCGAACAGGGAGGAAACUCGGCUUUAGUGAUCCGACGGUUCUGCAUGGAAGGGCCGUCGCUCAACGGAUAAAAGUUACUCUAGGAUAACAGGCUGAUCUCCCCCAAGAGUUCACAUCGACGGGGAGGUUUGGCACCUCGAUGUCGGCUCAUCGCAACCUGGGGCUGAAGUCGGUCCCAAGGGUUGGGCUGUUCGCCCAUUAAAGCGGUACGCGAGCUGGGUUCAGAACGUCGUGAGACAGUUCGGUCCAUAUCCGGUGCAUGCGCAGGAAUAUUGAGAGGAGUUCUCCCUAGUACGAGAGGACCGGGAGGAACGCACCUCUGGUGUACCAGUUAUCGUGCCAACGGUAAACGCUGGGUAGCCAUGUGCGGAGAGGAUAACCGCUGAAAGCAUCUAAGUGGGAAGCCCACCUCAAGAUGAGUAUUCCCAUGGCGUUAGCCAGUAAGGUCACGGGAAGAACACCCGUUGAUAGGCUCUAUGUGGAAGCGCAGUAAUGCGUGAAGC
rnacentral:rRNA from 1 species